CCUCGUGUGUGUGUGUGUGUGUGUGUGCACGCGCGCCUUGUCCCGGCGUUCAGAGUGUGACUCCGCUGCUCUACCUAUACCCGUGUGGAUAACACGCCCGCCCGGAGUGAGGGAUGGGCGCAACAAUAACAUCUUUGUUGGCCCUGUCGAAGGCACCCUUAAGAUCAACGAAAGCUCUGCAGGACGGUUAUAUGAACUGGCAGCCAUUGUUGAUGUUUGCAUUGCUUGCUGGGGCCGGGAGAAUUCCACGAUUACAGCUCAAAUAGAAGGAGUGAGUGAGGCAGGAUGAGUCUGAUGGGUGCUUAGGCUGAGAGUCACGCCGCAGGGUCAGUGAGGGGUACGGCCGGCAGUAUGGUGACUCCUACGGCGGCGGUAGGUCAUCACAGGAGUACUCAUGUGACAGGAGCAGCAGUUGGGGGGCGGUCACAGGGGAGGGGGCUGAUGGCGAAACCAUGGGAGGGGGAGAUGGUGCCGGGGAGUGGCAGGGUGGCCGGCCUUAUGCUGCAGGGGACGGCCACUGCUCCGGGCAUCAUGGCGUAUGGAUAACCUGGAGUCCGAAGUGGCACUUAAUAUUCUCAAUGCUGUGGUGACUAAUAAAGAAGAGGCACAGUGGUCAAGACAGGGACUGGGAAGGCAGACAGAAGAGGAGGAUGGACUGGAUGAGUAACAGCAGUACUAGUAGAAGUAGUAGUAGUGAUAGUUUGAUCAUAGUAGAGAUAGCAGUAAAAUAUCUAGUUGUAUUAUUAGAAGUAGUAGCAAUAGUAGAAGUAAUACCAGUAGUAGAAGUAGCUUGGUCAAAGUAGUAAUGGUAAUAGUAGUGAUAGCAGGAUGUUAUUUAACUGUAUAAAAGAAAGAUUAAAUCCAUAUAUAAAACUUAUUGGCAGGACCAGUAGCAGCAGCAGUAGUAGUAUUAGGAACACCGUGGUCAUAAUAACAGAAGUAGAACCAUAACAAUUCACUAUAAAACAAAAAGCACCAAACUAAUAUAGCAUCAACAACAACAACAACAGCAACAGUAGCAGUAGUAGUAGUAGUAAUAGUAGCAGCAGUAGUAGUAGUAGUAACAACACUAACUCCAACACUUUACCAACAGGACGACCAGUACUAUGGGUCUGGCUGCGGCAUCCUACCCACCCCCCGGAUGCCCCCAUGCUAACUGCCCUGGCGCGACCCUAACAUUGGCCCUGCACACUCCUGGGGUGUGGUGGGGGGCUUUGUACCAGGGCGGCCGGGGCGGGGGCGGGGUAGAGCAACAGGACUGGGGUACAAGAUGAAGAAAACGUUGCCGGCUAAGAAGAAAAUAGGAGCUAAGGAGGUUAAGACAAGUGGUGGUGGUGGUGGUGGUGCUGGUGGUGUGAAACCGAGGAUAAGACUGUAUCAUCAGUCUGAUGAUAUUUUGAAUAUCAAUUAUUUAACUUCUGCAACACCUGAGGACAAGACAGGAGCCAGCUCCUCCCAGAAUGAGCCCACACCUGCACCUGAGGACACACCCACACCUGCACCCAAGCCUUCACCCACCCCCAGCACCCACUCCAGCAUCCAGCACAGCCCAGGGGAAGGCCCAGGGCAGGCAGCCAAGGGCCGAGGCAGGGGCAGGGGUGUGGCGUGGGGGAGGAGAGUGUGAAGUGUGUGGGUUAGGUUUGUAUGUGGUACUUUGUCUGGGCUGCUCCAUAUGUGGGAGAGCUCGGUUGGUGUAGAGAUGGAUAGAUAGAUGUGUGUGUGUGUGUAUGUGUGUGUGUGUGAGGGAUUUGUACUUCAUUCAAGCAUCUUUUAUUUUUACUACUGCUACUAUCUUGUUCACUACUGGAAGAUUAGUACUAAGAUGUGAUUCUUGUUAUUUUUAAGGGUAUUAUUCCAAUGUUUUUUGUAUGAUUGCAUCUCAUUCCUGUUGUACUUGAGAGAGAGAGAGAGAGAGAGAGAGAGAGAGAGAGAGAGAGAGAGAGAGAGAGAGAGAACAGGCCCCAUUGCACAAACUAAUGAUAAAAAAAACUCACAACCAUUCCAAAAAGUAUAAAUAUGUUAGUUUUGUCAGUAGAUUUUGCAAGAAAGGAAAUUUGAAAUACAGGAGUGUGUGGGAGAGGCAAAGGAUAUGUAGGACGGCAGAUUAGUGUGUGAAGGAUGUGUAGGAGAGGCUGAGGAUAUCCUGUACACUGUGUCAGGAUGGUUAAGGGUGAUUUGGAAGGAAGCUAGUGUGUGAAGGAUGCAUUAGAUAGGAUGUGUAGUAGUGGGUACAAUGUGUUAAGAAUGAUAUGUAUGUUACAGGAGAUAAGGAUGUGUAUUUUCACCACAAGUAUGUGUACAGAUUGGUGUUAACACAGCAGGAAGGUUUGAUGAAGCUGGACCAUCAUUCCUUGUGUUGUCUUAAUAAAUGUAUGCAAACUGA